rnacentral:rRNA from 1 species
GACGAACGCUGGCGGCGUGCCUAAUACAUGCAAGUAGAACGCACAGUUUAUACCGUAGCUUGCUACACCAUACACUGUGAGUUGCGAACGGGUGAGUAACGCGUAGGUAACCUGCCUGGUAGCGGGGGAUAACUAUUGGAAACGAUAGCUAAUACCGCAUAAUAUUAAUUAUUGCAUGAUAAUUGAUUGAAAGAUGCAAUUGCAUCACUACCAGAUGGACCUGCGUUGUAUUAGCUAGUAGGUGAGGUAACGGCUCACCUAGGCGACGAUACAUAGCCGACCUGAGAGGGUGAUCGGCCACACUGGGACUGAGACACGGCCCAGACGCCUACGGGAGGCAGCAGUAGGGAAUCUUCGGCAAUGGACGAAAGUCUGACCGAGCAACGCCGCGUGAGUGAAGAAGGUUGUCGGAUCGUAAAGCUCUGUUGUAAGAGAAGAACGGGUGUGAGAGUGGAAAGUUCACACUGUGACGGUAUCUUACCAGAAAGGGACGGCUAACUACGUG